rnacentral:rRNA from 1 species
AUACGGAGGGUGCAAGCGUUGUUCGGAAUCACUGGGCGUAAAGGGCGCGCAGGCGGUUUGGUAAGUCAGAUGUGAAAGCCCACGGCUCAACCGUGGAAGUGCAUUUGAAACUGCCAGACUUGAGUACCAGAGGGGAAAGUGGAAUUCCCGGUGUAGGGGUGAAAUUCGUAGAUAUCGGGAGGAAUACCGGUGGCGAAGGCGACUUUCUGGCUGGAUACUGACGCUGAGGCGCGAAAGCGUGGGGAGCAAACAGGAUUAGAAACCCGAGUAGUCC